AACGAACGCUGGCGGCAUGCCUAACACAUGCAAGUCGAACGAAGCCUUCGGGCUUAGUGGCGCACGGGUGCGUAACGCGUGGGAAUCUGCCCUUGGGUUCGGAAUAACAGUUAGAAAUGACUGCUAAUACAGGAUGAUGUCUUCGGACCAAAGAUUUAUCGCCCAAGGAUGAGCCCGCGUAGGAUUAGGUAGUUGGUGGGGUAAUGGCCCACCAAGCCGACGAUCCUUAGCUGGUCCGAGAGGAUGAUCAGCCACACUGGGACUGAGACACGGCCCAGACUCCUACGGGAGGCAGCAGUGGGGAAUAUUGGACAAUGGGCGAAAGCCUGAUCCAGCAAUGCCGCGUGAGUGAUGAAGGCCUUAGGGUUGUAAAGCUCUUUUACCAGGGAUGAUAAUGACAGUACCUGGAGAAUAAGCUCCGGCUAACUCCGUGCCAGCCGCCGCUGUAAAAC
rnacentral:rRNA from 1 species